CGGCUCAAACAGCGUAUCCCCCAGGUGAGCUACACAAUCUUCGUACGCCCAUAGGUUGUAUCAGGUGUCAAUCAUAGAAAACAUGAACCCCCUAAUAUCUUUUACAAAUGGAGCUGCACAGAAAAAAAGAAGACUUGAGCACAAACCAGUCUGACAGUAACUAUAUGUCAACAUCACAACCAGGAAGGAGAAACAUUUAUAUUAUUUUUCAUAAAUUUCUAAAUACGGGUUUCUGUGCAACGUCAUCGCAGGUAUGAGUGCGCAGCCAGAGGCAGAAAGCAUGACAUUUCUUAGGCUACGUUCACACUGCAGGUUAUGAUGCACAAUCCGGAUUCUUUGUUAAAUCUGAUCUUUUUGUGCGGUCGUUCACAUUACAACAUUGAAUGUGGCAUCUAAUGUGAACGAAAUACGUUUGUGAAGUGACCCGCAUGUGCACAAAGCACAAAUUGCUUUCCACGCAUGUUUGUGUUGUCGAACAAUGGUGACGUUUGUCGCAUAUUGAUGAUGUAUAGGUCGGAUGAACGCGACCUGAGCGUCCACACUGCAGUCACAUCGGAUACAUAUCUGAUUUAUAUCCACGUACAAAAGAGGCCUGGGUCGGAUUAGAAAAAAUCAGAAUUGCACUGUUCACACUUACAUGAAAAAAUCAGAUAUGUGUCACAUAUGGUUAAAAAAUCGGAAUUGACCUGCAGUGUGAACAUAGCCUUAUUUGUUUACUAGCCGAGUCAACGGAGAAAGAAAACGACAAGGAGCUGUUGUGCUGUAAACUACACAAAUCGGCAAAACAAACAAUCGGCCAACAUUACGACCCUGCUCCUCAUAACAGCAACAUCUAAAACAACGUCACAACCUGGUAAAUUGAGUGAAACUCAUGGACAUUUCAGCAAGUGUUUUUCAAGACAAAGCUAUUUUUCAAUGAAAUGACAUUUUGUUGCAGUUGUGUCAGGGAGAACUUACAAACAAUUCGGCAUCUUUAUUGAUAUCAGUUCACUCCAAAGCAGUCUUUUGCCCCUUGGUUACGUGCGCACCAAGUAUUGUUUGUACACAAGAAAUCUGUCUAUAAGGAUGGCUGGCAGAGGUGGGAUUUAUGACCUAUACUACAGCCUGUCACCAGAGGGUGCUGUUCUCGGGGUGGCUUCACCCAGUGAGGAGGCAGAUGGCGUCCAUUCUAUAUACGGCCUACAGUCAUGGCCCUCAGGCUCAGUCCAGUCUUGUUGCACCUCGCUCAGGUCUAGUCCCUUAGAUGGUGCUCGUCUUUUAAUUUGGUCCAGUCAGUUGUAACGCUUAAAGCUGGUCCAGUUACAUCUAAACUCCUCCAGGUGGGUCUAGUCUAGAGCAGAACAGACUUUUGAAGCAGAUACUUCAGGUUUUGGUGUUCGGGCCAUGCUCUGCUUCUCCUAUCCUCUAUUCACAAAACUUCUCAGGCAGGAUUAGUUUGUGUUGUCCCCCUCUAAUGCUGCUCUCUUUCUCUCUUUCUUGUUGAGAGAUACUCUGUCUGUCCCCUUAAAGUGUUGGUUAUCCAGACUUAUGGGGACAUUUGCCCCCAUACCCACCAAAUGGGGACCAUGUCCUUUUACUGUCAUGUUUCCAAGACCUUUGCCUACUUUCCCACGAAACAUUUCAUUUAUUUUCUGUUUGCUGUCUUAUCUGAUCCUUGCAGGAGUGAAAAUGUCCCUCACCAUGCACAGCAGAAAGAGCUGUGUAGAACCUUAAGUAAUGAUGCUGUGUGAUGGUUCAGCCACUAGAGGGCAGCAAUGUUAAGGGUUUAAUCUCAGAGCAGAACAAAAAGAGAGAAGCUCGGUCAUAAACAGAGUAUGAUUCCAGGAUGGCAGAGAACAACACGAUGAGAAAUGACCUUUAUCGAAUUUAAUGUCCUGAGACUGUGCCGAGUACGAAGAAGUAAAAAAAGAGUGAAUUCACUUUGUUAGUCUGGACAUGUAGUCAGGCAGUGAGUCAAAUUCAAUCUAAAUCAGUGCUGAAGAAAAGCAAACUCUGUUGACGCUUUAAAAACACACCAUAAUGACUAUUUUAUUCUCUUGUUUUAACCAAAUAAAAUCUGUGUAAAUAUGUUUCUAUUUUAAUAUUCUCUGAUAAAAAUUUAUGGUUUGUUUUUAUGCUGUCAUGUGCACAACCUGUGUCUGUUUCUAUGAAGCACCCUAGGGCAAAUCUUUUUCUUUUAUAAUGCAACUUUAACUUGAACACAGAUAUAUAAAAAAUGAAAAGAGCUUUAUUUAUAAACAUUCAUAAAUUUACUCCUUAAAUCCCAAAAAAUAAUUAUAGUGGUUUCAAAAUUCCUUACAAAGACAAACAGAAAGGUGUAGACUGUUAAAAACAACACUGAUAAUAACAUGUCCUUUAUACUGUGAUAUAGACUUCAACCUCUUUAAACACUUAACAGAUUACAAAAAUAAUUUUGCUUUCUUAGUGAUACACGUUUCCACAUUUCUUAAUCUCGUUUCUCUUUUUCUACCACCAACAAUCUCUUUUUCUGAAUAUGAAUUAAUUACAAACUAUCAAAUCUAUCAUUAGCAUUGAUAUGUCUGAAGGUAUCUCCUCCCUUAAAACCUCAAACUGAGCUGAAACCACACCACAACUUCACCCAGCUGUCAAUCAUUUCACUGCAGGGGCUGAUGGGAGAUCUGUCGGAGGACCUGUUAGAAAGCAGGUGUCCUCGUCUGAUCUCAGAGCGUCACUUCUCCUCAGGAUCACCAGAGGAAACACCGACACACAAAAUGCUUCUCCUCCCAGCUGCUGCCCUGUACUGUCUGUGUUCAGGUGAGUAUUUCAAUCAGCCAAUCAGGAGCCAGCAAACUCGACCUUUACCAAACACCGUCUCACUCACCUGCUUCACCUGUGUGUGUGUGUGUGUGUGUGUGUGUGUGUGUGUGUGUGUGUGUGUGUGUGUGUGUGUGUGUGCAGCUCUGCUUUCAACAGCAGAAGAUCUGAUCCAGGAGGAUUUAACUCUGACCAGGAGAGAAGGAGAACAAGUCUCCUUCAGCUGUGAUCAAACUGACCGAUGUUCUAGUGACUGGGUAUUCUGGUACCAGAAGAAAGACUCAGACACAUUCAGAGUGAUUCUUGGUAUAACCAGGAGUAGUGGUCGAAUACGUAAAGGCUUCAAUCAUUCUCAGGAAGAUGAUUUCUCAGCUGUAGAAACUCAGAACAGCUGUCAGUUGCAGAUCCAGACAGUUAAAGUCUCUCAUUCAACCACCUACUACUGCUGCUGUUGGAAAUGGGAGACCCACAGUGAGAAAUGAAGAGAGCAGGCUGAACAAAAACUAAGAGAUGAAGAGAAAACCACCGACAGAGUCACAGACACACUGAACUGAGAGACUCCUGUAUUCACUGCUGUCAGGGUGUUAUUAUAGAUCUUUGAUUUCAUUUAGUUAUUAUAUAUAUAUUUUUAAUCAAAACUGUAUUUGCAGGUUUAUUGUUGUUCCUCAAAGUAAAGAACAAAGUGAAAGAAGCUGACAGUUACCUGUCUGAAAGAAAAGGAGAUGAAGCCUUCAGUGAAACUGUCAGUACGUUUACAUGUGUCACGACCAGGCUCUUCAGCCGCGACAAAAACAACGGAAGAUGCACUAGUUAACGUAAACGCAAUGAAUUUAUUAAGAAAACAGCACAACAGCAACUCAGGAGGUGAACACAAACAAGUCAUGGGGUGUGAGGAUCAGUAGAUCAGCUGUGUAGGUGCGUGCAUGCAUGAGUGAAUACGGGGUGUAAUGUGUGGUAGGAUGUUGGAUGCGUAAAACAAAAGACAAAGCCAUCCGCCCGGAGGGAAGGAGAGAGAGAACUGGUGGAGAAGGCGGGGUAUUUAUAGGUUGGGAGACACCGGGCCCAGGUGCUGCCAACCUCACUAACCGAUCGGACCGCCCCCUGGUAACCUCCUGCUUGACAGAGGGAAAAGCAUACAUUAGACACCAGGGAACCGUCGCACCCACCCCCACAAGAACGGGGUCCUGAAGGGAAUCCCGGGAUUAAACAAACCUAAGCAAACAGACCAACAUAAACACAAUACCCCACAGUAACACCAUAUCAGUGCACCCGUAUCCAGUCAACUUUUUUUUAUUUUUUUAUUUUUUUAUUUAAAGUGCUAAUCUAAAAAACAACCCAAACCCAACAUACAUUACAUUUUUACAGGCACCGUGAGCACAGUGGAACACUACAAGUCCAGGUACCAGACUGUUUCGUUGGUCCAACAUCCCUUAACCCAAACUCCCCACCCCAGCAACCGGUGCACCUAGGAAGCAAUUUAAGAGAUUGAGAGGAGGCAAGAGUAGAACCAAAAGGGAAACAGUUAGGCACAGUCGCCACGCGGGGGAGCCCGAGACAACGCGUCUGCCACCACGUUCUCGGCCCCCUUCACAUAGCGAAUGUCCAGAGAGUACGACUGCAGGAACAGCGACCACCUGACCAGCCGCUGGUUGGGACACUGCAAGGAGUUAAGAAAAGUUAGAGGGUUGUGGUCAGUGUACACGAUGGUAGGGGCACCGCUGCCACCAACAUAAACGUCAAAAUGUUUUAAAGCCAAAAUUAACGCAAGUGCUUCUUUUUCGAUAACCGCGUAAUUUAACUGACACGGGUUAAAUUUCUUGGAAAAGAAACUAACAGGUUUAUCGAUUCCCAAAUCAUCCGUCUGCAUGAGGACAGCUCCUGCUCCAGCGUGACUGGCAUCUACAUAGAGUUGAAACGGCUUGUCAAAACGCGGGGCAGACAGGACAGGAGCAGAGCAAAGCAGCUCUUUUACCUGUACGAACGCUUUAUCGCAAGUCGGAGUCCAAAUAUAUUUCGCCUUUCCUUUCAACAGAUCAGUUAAUGGUGCUACGACUGUUGAAAAAUUUCUACAGAACCCCCUGUAGUAGCCGACGAGACCAAGAAAGCGCAUAAGUUCUUUUUUCGUUGCCGGAACGGGGAACUGUUUCACCGCCUGAACUUUAGCAUCUACGGGCCGCACCUGGCCCUGCCCAACCACACGGCCCAAGUAUGUAACGGUUGGUCUGGCAAACUCACACUUUGCGAAGUUAACCGUGAGCCUUGCCUCCGCCAAACGAGUGAACAGUUCCCGGAUACGCUCCAGAUGUUCUUCCCACGUAUCCGAAUACACCACUACGUCGUCUAGAUAAACCGCACAGCCCUGCAUGUCCCCAAUGACGCGGUUCAUAAGACGCUGAAAGGUAGCAGGCGCAUUUCUAAGGCCAAAGGGCAUCACUGUAUAGGAAUACAGACCGGCUGGUGUCACAAAAGAGGCUAUCUCACGCGCACGCGGCGUCAAGGGCACCUGCCAAUAUCCCUUUAACAGAUCAAAUUUACUGACGAACGCUGCUGAACCAACCUGAUCUAUACAAUCGUCCAUCCUGGGAAAUGGAAAAGAGUCAGGCUUGGUAACGUUGUUAACUUUACGAAAAUCUGAACAGAAACGGGGCGUGUUGUCAGACUUUGGAACGAGCAAGCAGGGAGAUGACCAACUGGAAGAGCAGGGUUCCGCAAUCCCAUUCCCCAGCAUGUAAUCAACCUCUGCAUCCAAAUGUUUACGACGAUCUGCAUUUACUCGAUAAAAUCUUUGUUUGAUGGGCGCAGCAUCCCCCACAUCUAUGUCAUGUUCAAUUAAGUGAGUGCGACCGGGUGUAUCACUGAAGAGGUCCGGAAAACCUCGGAUCACCUGGAUCAACUCUGCUCGGCGCGAUUCUGUUAAAUGUGGAAACAGGUUAUCCAACCGGGCCAUAGCCUCAGAAUUUUUAAGCCGCCCAUGUAACAGAGCCGAGUCAGGCAUAUUUAAUUCGUCAUCAGACUCCGAAUGACUAGGAUUAGAACACACCACUGGGGCCACCGCGCACACUGCAUGGAUCUGAACACUUGGCUGCGGGUCAACGGCAACUGUCUCCGAGGGGCGCGCGUAGUACGGCUUGAGCAAAUUUACAUGGCACAUUUGAGUCGGUUUCCUACGACCCGGUGUUGAAAUCACGUAGUUAAGCUCUGAAAUUUGUUCCAACACUGUAUGCUGCCCAGUAAAUUUUGCCUGGAAUGGUGACGUGACGAUUGGAAGCAAAGCCAGCACUUGGUCCCGAGGACUAAAAACACGGCGCUCAGCCCCCCUGUCAUAUAGAUGCUUCAUCUUGCCCUGAGCUGACUCCAGCUUCUCCUUGGCCAAUACCCCUGCAGUGUACAGCCUGUGCCUAAAGCCAUUGACAUAAUCAAUUAAAUUCUUUGGAGGUUGUGACUCUACCCAGCCGCUAGACAGCGCAGCCAAUGGACCUCUGACAGUGUGUGCGAAGACAAGCUCAUUCGGGCUAAACUCUGUACUCUCCUGUGUCACCUCCCUUGCUGCAAGCAUUAACCAGGGCAACCCGUCCUCCCAGUCUCUACCCAGCUCCGUGCAAUACGCGCGCAAAAGGGACUUAAGAGUCUGGUGGAAGCGCUCCAACGCUCCCUGACUUUGAGCGUGAUAGGCAGAGCUCUGGUUAUGCCAGACUCGCAGCUGUUUCAGCACCUGCUGGAACAUUUGAGAGGAGAAGUUAGACCCUCGAUCUGACUGAAUCACCUUUGGGAUGCCAAACACAGAUAUAAACUGGGAGAGCGCCCACUUUUGUCACGACCAGGCUCUUCAGCCGCGACAAAAACAACGGAAGAUGCACUAGUUAACGUAAACGCAAUGAAUUUAUUAAGAAAACAGCACAACAGCAACUCAGGAGGUGAACACAAACAAGUCAUGGGGUGUGAGGAUCAGUAGAUCAGCUGUGUAGGUGCGUGCAUGCAUGAGUGAAUACGGGGUGUAAUGUGUGUUAGGGUGUUGGAUGCGUAAAACAAAAGACAAAGCCAUCCGCCCGGAGGGAAGGAGAGAGAGAACUGGUGGAGAAGGCGGGGUAUUUAUAGGUUGGGAGACACCGGGCCCAGGUGCUGCCAACCUCACUAACCGAUCGGACCGCCCCCUGGUAACCUCCUGCUUGACAGAGGGAAAAGCAUACAUUAGACACCAGGGAACCGUCACAC
rnacentral:lncRNA from 1 species